AUGACUGUUUUGUUAUGUUUUCCAUGCCCUUUCUCAAUAAUGCUUGCCUCUUUGGAUUUGAUGGAUUUAGAAUAUAUACUACUUAAUUCGGCUUUUUCAGCCGAAGCAUUUUCACGUUCCGAAUCCUUCUUUUCAUUGAUUCUACUAAGUCACAAUGCUUCUUUUAUUCGAGUCAAUUUUUUUCUCUUUGUUCCUGGCCCACGACCGAGUCCGCGAGCAGCCCACGGUCCGACGUCUUGGACAGUGGCACUACUUAGCGACUCAUCAAUUGAUGUGUGCGGUCUGUGCGAUCUUGGGUAUAUCGGUGUGGAUUGGACAUGGGAGAAAAAGGUGACGGGUGGAUACUUCUGUAGGGUGCGGCUGGAUAGGGCACUGGCUACUGCUAGCUGGAGCUCCUUGUUCCCUUUCGCUUCUGUGAGACAUCUUGUGGCUGAAAAAUCUGAUCAUUCACCAAUUAUCCUUUUUAAUGAUUUGGAUGCAGCAAAUAGGAGGAUUGCUUUGGACAAACCGUUCCGCUAUGAACAAAUGUGGGAAACUCAUGAUGAAUACUUCCCGAUGCUUGAGCAGGUGUGGGCAUCGUUAGGCAAGGCCGAGACGGUUCAAGAUACCAGUUUGAAAUUACAUGCCCUGGCCUCGGCUUUGGCUGCAUGGGGCAAGCACACUUUUGGUCAGGUGAGGAGUGAACUUAGAAGUUUGAAGAAAAAACUUGAGGAGCUAAGGUCUGAACCUAAUAGGCAGGGGCCUUCCUAUGAGGAGUUGAAAGUGCAAAACAGAAUAAUAGAGUUGAAUUUCCGCGGAGAGAUUAUGUGGCGCCAACGUUCGCGCAUACAGUGGCUUGCGGAGGGUGACGGCAAUACAAAGUUUUUUCACCAAAAGGCGUCUAUGAGGAAAAGAAAAAAUAGAAUCAGUGAGCUUCCGAGGGAGGAUGGCACAUUAUGCAGAGAUGAAAAGGAAUUGGGCAGCAUGGUGACUGAAUUCUACAAGAAUUUAUAUGCAUCUGAAGGCACUGUUGGGAUGGAGGAAGUGUUAUCCCACAUUCCUUGUAAAGUCAGUACUGAGAUGAAUGACAUGCUUAAUGCACCAUAUAAAGCUAGUGAAGUAAAGGAGGCCCUAUUCCAAAUGUAUCCAACAAAGGCACCGGGACCGGAUGGUUUUCCGGCGCAUUUCUUUCAGCGGAAUUGGAGUGUUUGCGGUGAUGAGGUUACCGAGAUGGUAUUGCGUGUUCUCAAUGGGCUAGAUUCUUCGGAGGUUAUAAAUAAAACGUUCAUCGUUCUUAUCCCUAAGGUAAAAAACCCAACCUCUUUGGUCCAAUUUCGACCGAUUAGUUUGUGCAACGUAAUCUUCAAGAUUAUUUCUAAAGUUCAUUCUAACCAGCUGAAAAAGAUUUUACCGGAGAUUAUUUCCCAAGAGCAAUCCGCUUUCGUUCCUGGCAGACUCAUUACUGACAAUGUUAUAGCUGCAUAUGAAUGCCUUCACUUCAUGAAGAGAUCAAGGAGUAAGAAAAAUUCACAUUGUGCAUUGAAGCUUGACAUGAUGAAAGCGUAUGAUAGGGUUGAGUGGAACUACCUUGAAGUUGUUAUGCUAAAAAUUGGCUUGCAUCCAUCUUGGGUUCGUAAAGUUAUGCAAUGUGUGAAUACAGUUUCCUUCUCAGUUUUGAUGAAUGGUGGUCGACUGGAGGAGUUUAAACCCACCAAGGGCAUCCGCCAAGGUGACCCGAUCUCUCCGUAUCUCUUCUUGCUAGCGGCAGAAGGUUUCUCGUGUUUGUUGAACUCCAAGGGUGAGAAUGAAAAUGUGAGGGGGGUAGUUGUCGCUCCUACGGCUCCUCCCGUCAAUCAUUUACUUUUUGCGGAUGACAGUUUACUCAUGUUGAAAGCAAAUGAUAUCGCUGCUACUAUCAUCCGAGAUACAGUGCAGCAGUACUGUGAUGCUUUAGGCCAAAUAGUUAAUUUAACCAAGUCUUCUAUCUUUUUUGGGAAGGGUUGCCCGGAGGCUACAAGGAAUUCUAUUAAAUCCAUUCUUACUGUUCCAAAUGAGUCUUUAAAUGAACGGUACCUUGUCUUACCGUCAGAUGUUGGAAGGAGCAAGAAUGGAUCAUUUAAGUACAUAAAAGACAGAAUGUGGGCAAAAGUUCAGGGCUGGAUUGAGAAGUGUAUGGCUUCAUCUGGGAAGGAAAUUUUAAUAAAAGCAAUCGCUCAGGCGAUCCCCACUUACUCCAUGUCAUGCUUCUUGCUACCCCGGGGCCUUUGCAAUCAGAUGAAUACUAUGUUGAGGAAUUUUUUUGGGGGGAGUAAAGAUGGAAAUAGAAAAACAACUUGGGUCUCUUGGGAGGAUCUCACUAUGCCCAAGUACAUGGGUGGUCUGGGAUUUCGAGACACUGAGCUCUUUAACCUCGCGAUGUUGGCAAAACAAGGAUGGAGAAUACUCCAGGAACCUAGUUCGUUGAGUGCUAGAAUUUUGAAGGCAAAGUAUUUCCCAUCUUCAGACUUGUUGCAAGCAGAAAUUGGAUCACAACCAUCACAAGUAUGGAGAGCUGUUUAUGCAGGCUUGGAAGUUUUGAAACAAGGGCUCAUACGACGGAUCGGUGAUGGUGGAUCAACGCAAGUGUGGAACCAAAACUAG
rnacentral:rRNA from 1 species